GAUGAACGCUAGCGGGAGGCCUAACACAUGCAAGCCGAGCGGUAGAGUUUCUUCGGAAACUUGAGAGCGGCGCACGGGUGCGUAACACGUGUGCAACCUACCUUUAUCUGGGGGAUAGCCUUUCGAAAGGAAGAUUAAUACCCCAUAAUAUAAUGAUUGGCAUCAAUUAUUAUUGAAAACUCCGGUGGAUAGAGAUGGGCACGCGCAAGAUUAGAUAGUUGGUGAGGUAACGGCUCACCAAGUCAAUGAUCUUUAGGGGUCCUGAGAGGGAGAUCCCCCACACUGGUACUGAGACACGGACCAGACUCCUACGGGAGGAAGCAGUGAGGAAUAUUGGACAAUGGGUGAGAGCCUGAUCCAGCCAUCCCGCGUGAAGGAUGACGGUCCUAUGGAUUGUAAACUUCUUUUGUACAGGGAUAAACCUACCCUCGUGAGGGUAGCUGAAGGUACUGUACGAAUAAGCACCGGCUAACUCCGUG
rnacentral:rRNA from 1 species